UGUCAAAAAAAAAAAAAAAAAAAAAAAAAAAAAAACUCCAAAAAGUAAGUAAAGAGGAGGUUUGGAAUUAGAUAUUUGGUGUAUGAAUGAAUGGGCUAAAGUGCAAAAGAACAGGCAGAAUAACUGAGCUGGUACAGAGGAAAAAAAUCACACUUAAAAUCUAAAAAUAUCUGCUUCUCAAUUUGGGCUUUCCCACUUAGCAGCUUUGGCACCUUAGAAAGAACACUUAACUUACCUGAGCUUCUAUUACUUCUAAAAAGUGCAUAAAGUGCAGGCUAAGACAUAGUUUUUUGGCAAAAUUCAGUCAGACUACAUCAAGUAAACUCCCUAAGUCUCCUAGUAUAAUUCAUGGCACAAAAACUGGGGAAAAAACAGGGAGGAUAUGAUUAUAAGUUCAGUUUGUGUUUUUUGUUGAGUGAAUGUCUCCAGCCAUAGAGAUGCAAGUGUAGAUACACAGUAAGAGUAGUAUGAAUGGCAGACACCUUGGAAGGCUAUUUCUUCCUUCAUUCAUUCAGUUGGUCACUCAAUGAACUAUCAUGAAUUGAGCACUACCUCUGUUUCUUAUCAACAAAGGAGACUACGGAAAAGAAGAGUGACUAAGAUCUCUGAAGAAGGGAAAAGCUAGAUGACUGGGCCACAAGAGGAAAAAAAGCAGCAAGACAGAGAAUGAGUAGCCACUGCUGUUUGCCCUGGCCCAUCAAUGAGAAGAUCUGCUCUUAGAGCCCUGCUUUCCUGCUGAAGGCCCCGAAAUCACCUGUGUUCCAGGCCACCCGCUAACAAUAAAUAAUGCUCCCCUGAUGUGGGGAAUUAGCUCAAGUGGUAGAGCGCUUGCUUAGCAUGCAAGAGGUAGUGGGAUCGAUGCCCACAUUCUCCAAGCUUUAUUAUUUAGACAUCGUGUCUCCAAACACUCAGGUCUCCAAACCCAAGUUAGUGUCUGAGAACAGGAUGCUGCUUUGGUUCAAGACGUAGGAGCAGCAAUAAUAGAGGGCUGGUGAUGGCUCCCUCUUGGCAUUCAGUAUAGUGUAGAUCUACCAUGUAAUUAAUUCUCUGUUUCUUUGAGGAGCUGUGAAACCAAGGGACAUAUACAACUGCUCUUUUCUCCCUGUUUCUACCUGCAGCUUUGUCCUAAAUGUGAGACAAUUAUGAAAAGUGCAGGGCAGAGCCACUUGGGUAAAUACAGCCCCGGCUUUCUGCUCAGGGGACAGAGUUUGAGGCACUGCAGAGGAACCAGCCAAAGUAUGAGACCCAUAUGUUGAGAGUGACAGUGUAAAGUUCAAAAAAAUCAAAAUGUUUAAAGAUUUAUCAUGGGUCUUGAUGACAUGAUGGAAUCUCUCUACUCUCUGGACUGAUUAUGUGUGGUAAUAAAUUUACUUUUUAAAAGCCA
rnacentral:tRNA from 1 species